GUCCGGAUGGCCGAGCGGUCUACGGCGCUGCGUUGAGGUCGCAGUCUCCUCUGGUGGCGUGGGUUCGAAUGCCACUUCUGACA